rnacentral:rRNA from 1 species
CAGCAGCCACGGGAAUACGUAGGGUGCAAGCGUUAAUCGGAAUUACUGGGCGUAAAGCGUGCGCAGUCGGUUCUAUAAGACAGAUGUGAAAUCCCCGGGCUCAACCUGGGAACUGCAUUUGUGACUGUAGAGCUGGAGUGCGGCAGAGGGGGAUGGAAUUCCGCGUGUAGCAGUGAAAUGCGUAGAUAUGCGGAGGAACACCGAUGGCGAAGGCAAUCCCCUGGGCCUGCACUGACGCUCAUGCACGAAAGCGUGGGGAGCAAACAGGAUUAGAUACCCCCGUAGUCCCUGUCUCUUAUAC